CAACAGCUUCCAGUCAGCUCAGAGUAUAAGCAGGGCAAAUGGAUMUUUGCCUGCAAAAUACCAUGUAGACAAUCUAUCUGAGCCUUUAGAAGUAGAAUUUGUAGUAUUGGGAUGCCCUGGUACAUUGUAGCCCAUGCACUUCAGUUGCCUAUCGUCUUACACUGCUGUUGUCCUGUCUCUAGAACCAAGAUCUUGCAAAUCCAGAAGUCAAAAGCCUGCCUUCCUCUUUGCCGUUAUCCAUGAAUGAUGUAGCUAUGACCAGCCACCUGGAAAGGCAAAACAUCCAGAAGAAUAAAAAUAUGGAAAAGACUGAGGAAAAUCCACUGUUGUCAGAUACAGAUGAAGACAUCAAAGAGGAAGAAGACGACUAUUACAAAACUCCAAGCAGUCUUUUAACAAAGUGUAAUACUGAAAUAUCAAAGCCUGACCCUACAGCUGAGUCUAAUGUCCCUGUGCAAGAGAAGCCAGUGCAGAAGAACACAGUAAAGGAGAACAUUUAUAUGUCAAUGAAAUCACUGUAAGUAACAACUUUAUUAAGGUUUUGAAAAUUAAAAGUGAUACAGUGAUAUAGGAA
rnacentral:lncRNA from 1 species